rnacentral:lncRNA from 1 species
CCCAUACAGAAUAAAGUCAGCCUGUAUUUAAUGGUCAUGGCGGAUGUGAGGGGAUUUGGCGGAGGCCGAGGAGAGGCCUUUGGCUCUCAAGCCCCGUCCUCACGUCGUGUGAGUCUACCAACCCGCCACGACCCCAGAUUCUUGUGCGGGUGUCUGACUCGAAUGACAAGCGAGCUGAUUUUUUCAGUACAUAGCUGGGAAAUGUAGUGAGUGAUAAUAGAGAUUUCUCUUUCAUUUUUUACGCUUGACUUGGUUAUUGUUGCUUUUCUUUUCCCGUGAUUCCUUCUGAGGAUUAGCUCUGACUUCCCCACUAUUGGCGGUCAAAGUGGCCCCGACUCGGGAUGACAAUUGACGGGGAUCAAGGGAUUGCCCAUUCUGUGCCUGUAAGAACGGAUUCGUGCCAGAGAAACUCAUCAAGUGGAGGCGGAGAAGAAAGACCGUUCGGGGCUUGUCAAUGCGACCAUUGCUUUGAUGGGAGGCUCCUCAAGGAUCUGCAUCCAUCCUGGCUUUUGCAGUUCUCUGUCAUCACCAGAGAAUUCAAGGGCACAUGUCAUCUGGAAAGAAGACGUUUAGAGAUUUCCUACUCCAUCUUCCUCACAAAUGCCGAGGCCCAGAGAAGUAACCUGUCCAAGGUCACAGAGCUCAUAGCUGAGCUACAACCGGAGUUCAGAUCUCUCAUCCCAUCGCACCCCAAAAAACACCCAGCCUCCCAUGCAUCACCGCUCCCCUCCCAACCUGCCUCUGAGAGGGCUUCUCCGCCCUUCCACAAGGUCAGGCAACCCCAGCUCCGAGGCUUUGUCUGUAUGUUCCUGUUCUCACUGCCCUGCUCUCCUUCCUGCCACAUGAGGCCCAGCCCCAGCCUUCCCAGCCCAGCUCCAUUCUACGGACAGUUCCUGAAUAUCAGUUAAACACAAGGAAUGCUUUGCCUUUUCUAUGAAACUUUCCUCAGCCACUCUUCUUCACUGAGUCCCCUCCUCACUCAAAUUCCUCUAUCCCCAUCAUUUUUGGCCUGGAAAUCUCCUAGGCAGGCUUCACGGCCCUGCUCAGAUGACACUUCUGUGAAGCCAUCUCAGGGUGUGAAGAUCCCAGGGGAGGAAGCAGUUCUUUGAAGCCCGGUGUGUGUGUGGAACAGAGGGAGUCUGGAGAGAGGCGUGAAGGUCACAUCUCCUACAGCCUUGUGUGGGCCACGGCAGGAAUUUUGGAUUGCCCCCCAGAAGCAAUGGGAAGCCACUGAGGGGUUUGAGCAGCGAAGGUCUCUUGUCCGGAUUUGAACUUCUUGAGAAUUAAAGAAAGGUGUCCUUUUCCUCUCUGGGUCCCUAUACUCCCACCCCAGUGUCUGGCACAUAAUACUCAAGACCUGUUUGCUAAGCGCAUAAACGGACUAAGUGUGUAAACUCAUUAAAUGCAUACCACGCAGCCCUUCCUUCUCUCUUAAUUCUGGCUAACCGGUUUACAAGAGCCAGGGUGGUAGGGACCAAGUCAUGGGGUCUUCGAAUCCUCGACAGAACCGAAUUGAUACGAGUUCAGUGCUAGCGAUACAGUGCACGCCUGUCCACCGACUAAGGUGUGCAAAGGAAAGAACGGGAAAUCAGGAGGUCCGAGACUUCUCUUUGCUGGUACUAAUUGCCUUACCUUGGGAAACAUUACUUAAACCCCUCUGAGACCUUGGUUUCUUCAUCAAUAAAAUGGGAACAAUGCUACUUAUUUCAUGGGUUAUGAGGCCUAAGCGAUACCAUUUGUAUGAGAAUAACUUGAUUGUGAAGGGACACGUUAAUGAAUGAAAAUUAGUGCAUGCCCUGGGGCCAGGGCAAGAGCGGUGGGGUAGGCACCACUUUAAAAUGACAAAAGGUGGUCCGGCAGCAAGCAGGAUCCUGGAAGAACUCUGACUCGCUGCUGUUGGCUCCGAGCCCAGCUGGUUCCACAUCUUCCCCCAGGGCGUGUUAGCCUUCACACUUGGCUCCCUAUGCUUCUGCUCUGAGAAGCCUGUUUCACAGAAGCCUGAAUUCCCCUGUUGCGUGCAGAAGGCUGCACUUGGAGACGGGGCAACGGGAUUCUGGGAGGCCAAGGAAAUCACGCAGACUCUCAUCCCUGUGAACGCAGGAAAAAGAACCACCCAUGGCAAGAGCAGACGGGGCCCACCAAGCCCUACUGCCCAUUUACUGUGGAGUCCUUACCCUGGAGGCCCGCACAUCCUUGGGCAGGAGAUGUGAGUACCAGGGCAGAGACUGCCAGCAUGCUGGGGUGUGUCUGCACAGGAGAGAGAGCGAGAGACAGAGACAGAGACAGAGACAGAGGAGAGAUUGUGUUCCAAACCACCAUAGUCAGCCUCUGCCAAACAUAGUGGGGGAAAGAAUCUUCCAAAAGGGAAGGUAUUUUUAAGUUUCUACACCCAAACUGAAUUAAAAAAAAAAAAAACCACCUGUCUCUUAACUUUCAUUUAAGAACAGAGAGAGACGUGGGCUUCUUACCUCUCCCUGUUGUGCCUUCAUCUGAACGUUUUUAAACCUCAAGGAGCAGGCUUAGAAGCUAAUAUUUGUAAAGUUCUGAAGCCAAGUGGCCCAGCCAACCCGCCAGGGAGAACGCCGGGAGCGCGAGGGGGUAGUCCAGGCGGGUGGUGGGAAUCGUUUGGCAAGUCACGUCCUUCCCGUGGAGAUGGCUUUCGUGUCUGCAGGCUAAGUGUAUGCCAAACCAGGGGCCUGCCGUCAUCGGAGCUAACGUGGGAACGAAUGCGUCCUUAGCGACUUUUCACUCCAACCUGAUGUGCGUACCGCCAAAUCCUCUCCCUGGGCCCCAAAUAACAACAAAAGCUAUCUUUCCCCCUUUCGCUGAUGCCGGAAUCCCUCAGCCACAAGGAAUGCAUGUUGCUCCAGCUCAGUGUCAGCUCUUGCAACCAUAAGUGAUUUCAGUUCAAGGAUUCUAGACCUGAAUUUUUUUUUUGCACUCGACCCCUCCCAGAGGAUAUUUUUCAGACGAAGUGCUCCUCCCCAGCUGAUAGAGUCGUUUGUUUCUGGAGGAGACUAACUUUGGGGGCUGGGAGGUGAAGAGUAGCGGAGGGGGAAAUUGGUAAGCAGCAUCAAGGGAGCAAAGCGUGGAGAGGAAUUUCCUCGGGGUGGGGGAAGAUAGUAGCAGUGGAGGAAGGGAUUAGGAGCCUCGGAUCCCGGAGGACGGUCCUCCCAACACCCAACAUCGUCUACAGAUUGCACCGGUGCCCCGCCUGGGAGAGCAGAGCAGCACUCCCCUUGCCACGGGAUGGAAGGUGGGGGAGGCAGAAACCUAAACAAGUGAAUUCAAUUACAUCUGAAAAAGAAUGGGCUAAAUUAGGAUUCAGUCCUUGGGCCCGUUCCAGAAAAUAUUUGUGAAAAGUUGGUUGAAAGAAUACCACCAUCC